CUGAAGGGUUAGGGGAGAAACAAGAAAGGCUUUUUCUGCAGCAGGUGUAGUCGUUGACUACUCGAAAUCGACCGUGGUAUUUGGGAGACCUUUUUUUGUUGUUGUUUAGAAGCGGGUGUGGGGUGAGAGAGAAUUAGGGUGGUGAAAAGGCGUCUUCCCCGGAAGAGACCCGAAGACAGGGAAGCUUCCGUCCCUCAUGGAGAGGGGAAUGAGGAUACUACCAUCCCGGGGUGGAAGAAAAGUGAAUAGCCUCCAAGAGCGACCGUCACCGCCUCACUGUCCUUUAACUGUGUACCAGUCCCCCACCCUUUUUGGUGGCAGCUCGGGUUCUCUCACUCUUUCCCUUCCCCCUCCGCCCCCUUCCGGCCUCAGGCAAAGGGCGAACCCGGCUGGGGUUUCACUCGACGCCCACUAGGGGCUGAAGGGGCUUAGGAGGCUUCAGUGCGCAAGCUCCGGACACCGGAUAAAAGCCGAGCUGGCCGGGUCCAGAGCCGUCUCGAUGGAGGAGAAAGAAACGGAAGCGACCAGGGGGGAGAGAGACUCUGCAAGAAUAGUACGGCCACCAUCAACGCUGCCACCGUGUUUCGGGGUAAAAAGCCGCCGCCAUCGGUGCUGCCGCUACUGUCUCCUCUUGGCCCCCGGGGCUAAUUCCCCCGCCUGCCAGCUGGACAAUAUGUGCGGGGAGGGGAGUAGGGACCCCCUUGUGUGGAGGUGAUUGAACUAGGCUUAGGGUCCAAGCAGGGAGGGGCUAGUGUAGGUUAUCUAGACAAAAGAUAGGGUAAACUAGGGAGCGGCAUGAGGGCUUCCCCAUUGGAACCGCAGGGACUGGGCGGCGCUGGCCCCUGCUGUCGGGAGUUGGGGGGGGGGGGGGGUGCUCUCCCUGAAAUGGCGGUUUCCGCCUCGCCUGGUUGCGACCCUGGGAGAGCUUGGGGAGUGGAGCUAGGGAGAGACUGAUCCGUCGCUGUAGCCAAUCAGCGGAUAGUUUAUGUAGUCAAGUGCCGUUUGAUUGGUUGGUGAUGACCUCAUGCUGCAGCAGCGGGCGGGGCCGGAGCUGUCCGGGGAGGCUGGUGCAGAGGGAGAAAGGGAGAAGUGGUGAUGGCGACGGUUGCUGCGGCGGUCACUGUGAGACCUAAACAGUGGCGAUGGGGACCUCAAGCCUCUUCCUUGACCGAUUCCUCCUGGCCCCGCGCGAGGUUUUCAUCGUCCAUGGAAUGCAUUCACUCUUAACCUAUCACAAGCUCUUGGAAUCCUCUAAUUUCUGUAAAAGCUCAACUCAAGCACCAACUCCCAUGUAAAUGACUUCUGUUGAUUUCCUCCCUCUUGCCUUAAGUGACUUUGAAUGUACUUUUAUGUUUAUAAAUUUACCUCUAUAUAUAUAUAUAAAGUCCUUUAAAUUACAGAUUUUUUGCUUUUUUUUUUUUAAUCUUAUUUUCCCAAUGUCUAGCACAAAGUAGACAUAGUGCAUGCUGAAUUUUUUGGAUUGGAUUGAUGAACAAAGCCAAGAAACCCAGAGAAUUUGAUAAAUAUCACAGCACAACAACAAAAAAUCACAGCCCACAUUUUGAGGUCCAGCACAGUCAGCUUUUCCUUUUUAAAUUGUGGUGCUUACCUCAUUAUUGGGGGAGGGAGGAACCCUCAUUUCUCCCCCGCCCCCUUUCCAUUUUUAGUCUAGUAUCAGAAAGUAGAAUACAGUUAUGAUUUAGGGAUAAUUUUUAACCCAUAAAUCUAGUGUUUCAUUUACAUUCUAGGUUUAUUGUCAUGGUGAUUACUAUGAUAUUUUGAUGAUGGCCAAUAUACAACAAUCCACAUGAUUUGAUUUACCCAUUAAAUAAGAAGGUCCAACACUCUUAUAAACAAUAGAGUACCCCAAAUAGUAGGCUGAUGUGAUGUUGAAAAUUAAGUUUAUCAAAGUCUAAUAGCCAAGAUAUAUUGAGAGUUGACAUUAAUAUCUAAUCUACAGUGCCAUUCCUCAAUUGAUAAGUGGCCAAGUUAUUUCUAAAAGAAUUGCAAAUUAAUGACUAUGAAAGAAUGCCCCCUUCACUCAAAAGAGAAAUGCAACUUAACAUUGAUUUUACUUAACUACGCAAAAAAUUUUAGUCCAUCUUGAUUAAAUAGGAAGAUGAGCACACUUUGUACACUAUUGAUAAAACUGGGAACCUAGUCCAAAUUCCAAGUGUCAUUUUGUAUUAUUAUUGUAUAUUGUAAGGAAAAUGUUUAAACUUUUUCAAAUUUCUGGAUUCAUUGAUGUCCCCAUUAGUGGUAUAUGUUUCAAGGAGGUCAAAGGCAAAUUUCUAAAUAUGUACCAAAAUAUUCAUAGCACACACUGAACAAAGAACUGAAACAAAGUAUAUGUCCAUCAAUUAAUGAAUGGCUGAAAAAAUGGCAUAUAAAAGUAAUGGAAUAUUGUGGCCUAAUAAAUCAGGGAAAAGUGGGAAUGUAUUUGUAAACUGAUAUAAAGUAGAAAACAAGAGGCAAAAUAUUAGUAUAAAUGACAAAGUAUGUAAAUGAAAAUAUCCGUGAAAGAAAGUUGAAUGGAUUAUUGAAAAACCAUUAUAAACAUUGGAUAACAAAACUAUUUACUGAAGAGAAGUGGUAAGGCAAAAUGUAAAUGUUGUGUACAGUGUAUUUGCUAUAUUUUGUUGAAGGAAUGGGAUUCCAUUUGGCCUGCUGGAGAAGCAGGGAAGAUUGUGCUAGCAGAUCGCAAGCUCUGACAGGUCCUACCAAACUAGAAAGGCUUUACACAAAGGCCCAUUGAGUAUAUCUGUUGUUAGAGGACCAAUCUUAGCAGCUAAAUUUACAUAGGAUCCUCACUAGGUUGGUAAUUGUGAUAAUUUGAGUCCUAGCAAUUCUUUGAAUACCAAGGAACAGUAUUGGUGUUAGAAUUAAUGGGGACUUAUUUCAGUGGAGUUAAUUUUCUUACACAGAGCUAAAGCUAACAGAUUAAAUUGAAAAAUCAGGAUCAAGAAUCAGAACAAAUUUAAAAAGCACUCUGCUCAUCUAUGUACAUAUACUACAUGACAUUUCUUUACAUAAUUGAAAUUAAGGAACUCUGGAUAUUUUUCUAUCAACAUCAACAAGGAAACCAGAAUGAUUGUUUCUUCCCAUGUUAUAUAUUUGAAGCUUAAAAAAAAAAAAGAAAGAAACAAGAUCUAUUCCUAAGGUUUUUAAAUGGAUAGCUCACUAUGUGAACAUAGAUAACUAUAAGAAUACUAGAGAACCAUUUCACUGUAUGAAAGGCAUAAAAUCUUUCCCUACUCAAAAUAACACUGUCAAUAGCUUUUCAAGGGAUUAUUCUGAAAAGCUGUUUUAUCAAUGCCAUCUGCUGGAAGAUUUGCUUGUCUAUACUAAGCCUAACUGGAGCAUGCUAUUUCCUGCAUGAGAAGAGUAAGGUAUGGGACAAAAUUAUAAGCACAACUUUUACUAUCCCCUUUAGCAUUUAAAUCUUUAAGAAAAUGAAGACACUAAAUCUUAAAAGAAAAUUCCAUUAUUUGGGCCAUUUAACAUUACAUGAAUUUUCUUUGGAGAAAUUAUUUCUAUUUCCAGUUGUCCAAGAAACAGCAUGAAAAAUUCAGUCUGUCCAUACUCCUGAAUUAUUGCUACCCCUUCAAUCUCCAGUAUAGUAUAUUUAAGCUAUUUUGUUGCUUUGAGUUGUUUCAAUAAGGCAUAAACAAGGGAACAAAAAGGAGAUAAGUGGAACAUAGUCCAUUUUAAUAUUCAUAAUUAAGAUGAGGCUAGGAGUUAUGAAAUUUUAGGUUCUUCAAUUAUCUUUAAAGAUCUAUCUGUAUGCGUUAUUGUACCUGGGCUUAGCCCAGAAUUAUGCUUGAAUUGGCCUGGCCCUUUGCUAAUCACUACUAUGACAAGUGACUCCUUGAUAAAGAACCCCUCAGGGAAAAUGGGGUGGGGUACAGUAUGAGUAUAGCCUUUGCCAGCCUUAGUACUGAUUAUAAAGAACACUUAAACUCCCUAGCACAGGGUGGGUGAGACUGGGUGAGACCUCCUCUAAGUGGAGGAACAGCUAAAUUAGAAACUAUGUUCUUCUGAUGCUGUCUGUACUGUCCAAACAUUUUUAAAAUUACCUGGCUAUUACCAGAAUGGUCCUUUUGGCCAUGUUCCUUUUUCAACAAAAGGUGGACUUCAGAAAUUUCAAAAAGUUUGGAUUUUUCUAGUGAUGGUCAGCCUCCCACGGAGAGCUUCUUUGAUCUAAUUAUCUUAAAGCUCAUGGCUGCCAAAAGAACCUGGAAUUAACUAGAGAACCAAUUCUAAGCAAGUCUUUACUUGCACGUUUAUGAUGACUAUUUUGUUAUUUCCACUCUAUUCCCUUACAUGAUGGAAAUUCCUCUCAGGGAUUUUAAAUGUUGUUAGUAUAGCAGCAAUGAUUACAUCCCUGAGCUAUAAUUGAAUGACCUGCUCAGUUAACUCCUGGACCAGCUGCAUUUAGUGUGAAAAUGUAGACAUUAUAGAUUAGAACUUGGAGAGGAGUGAUGGAAGCAAAUGUUAGAAAUAAAAGCAUGGAUGUGAGAUUAAGGUAGAGAAAUAACUAUUAUUUCAAGCAAUGGGAUCAGAAAUCAUCAACACACUUAUCAGUAUGACUCACAAUUUGGAACCUUAAUCCCUAACAGGACAAGAACUUCAUUUUUGUCUUUGUAUCCACAGUGCCUUUCCUUUAGUAGCCACUCAAAGUUAGAUACAAAGAAGGGAAAUAUUUUACAUGAUUUAAAAGUAAAAAUAUGGAGGAAUUAAAGUUAGUUAUAUUAAUAAGAGGCAUCAUAGUAAUUAUAUUGGAUAGGAUGCCACUCGUAGAGUGAAAAAGACCAGGUUCAAACUCUUCCUCAGAUUCCUAGCUUAAUUUCUUUGUGCUUUAGACAUCUCCCUGAAAGUUAUUAAUCUGACAAAAUCAAAAUUAGUUUCUUCAUACUUAUUUUUUAAAAUAUCUCCAGAAAUGAGAUUACAGAAUUUGUUCUUAGUUGGGAACAGAGUGGAUAUUUUCAUGAAUUGCUCCAUUCACUAUGAUUUGGGAUCAGAUAUUGGGGCCUUCACUAAAAAAAUCAAUCUUUUUGAAGUUUAGUAUGAUGGGCUUAAUAACAUCAAAAUACUCAUCUAAUAAGAAAAUAUUAAUUUAGUCUUGAAAGGAAUCCUUAGACAUCAUCUAAUGCCUUCCUUUUUACAGAUGAAGAAACUAAGCCUCAAGUUGAAAGACUUUUUCAAGGUUAAAUAAGCAGGGAACAGCAGGCUUGAGAUUUAUUGAAGGAUAUUUUUCUUUGCCUACCAAUUCUAAAUCCAAAUCUCAGAAACCUAUUUCAUAUCUAUUCUUGAACCUAAAGAAUCAGAUUGAAUGCCUAAAAUGUACACAAGUAUGAUCUAGAACUAAGAUGGGAUGGAGCUUUGAUAUGUAUAGGUCUAUACUAGAGCAAAAAUUCUCCAAAACUUAGUUUUAUGUGUGGUUUUCCAUUUAACCCUGCUUCUGAGUCCAAUGUUGGUUUCCCCCCUUUAAUGCAAAGCAAGUUUUAAUAUUUUGGAUACAGCUGAUUUGCUGUUUCACUGAGCAAUGAAAGAAACACAAUUAUCUCCGGAGCUGUCUAAUCUUGGUAGUGAUUGCUUUUUGACAGUUUUUUCCUAUUUUGUGAUUUCUGGUUCUACCACGCCCUCCCCAAGCAAUUUGAUAUAGGUUAUACCAGUGCUUUCAAGAGAUAUGUAUAUAUAUAUUUCUGCAUUUCCUAUGUUAAUACAUUAUGCUUCAAAGUUUUCUAGUUUUAUAGAAUAAAAGAUUUAGAGCUGAAAUGUAGAGCUUUUUGUAUUUUCCAUGAAAUAUCCUUGAGUUUGUAAUCAUUCUGACCAUUAGCAGUAUUAGUAUUCCCCAAGUCUGUCCUAGGUUCUCUACAUUCUCUACUUUGGUGAUCUCAUAUCUUUCUGUUUUCUGUCCUCUACCUAUGAAUCCGAAGUCUACCUAUCUUAUCUAUGUAUCUAUACCCAUGUGUGUGCAUAUAUCUAUACGUUAUAUCUAUACAUUAGUGAACUCUUUUUUUUUUUUUAAGCUCAAGUUCCUAUUUCCCGCUAUUGGACAUCUUGUAAAUGUCUCCCUGGAACCUUAAACACAACAUGUCCCAAACAGACCUCAAUUUUAUUAUCCCUUAGGCUUCAUCCCUCCCACCCCCCCUUUUUUUAAACCCUUACCUUCCAUCUUGGAAUCAAUGCUGUGUUGUGUAUUGGCUCCAAGGCAGAAGAGUGGUAUGGGCUAGGGCAAUGGGGGUCAAAUGACUUGCCCAGGGUCACACAGCUGAGAAGUGUUUGAGGCCAGAUUUGAACCUAGGAACUAGGGUUUCUAGGCCUGGCUCUCAAUCCACUGAGCUACCUUUUUCUUUUGAUGAACAUCCUUCAAUUCAACCAGGCUUAAAAGUUUACUAUACUUCUUUCUCGGACAAUUUGAAUGAUCUUAAAAUUUCUCACAUCCUCCUCUAAAUUUCCACCAUUUCAGGCCUCAAAAUCUCACUUUGACAACUGUAAUACAUUUUAACUACUUCUCAUCAAAUAUCUUCUAAUUCAUCCUUAACACUGUUGCCAAAAUAAGCUUCCCAGUGCAAGGGAUUGAUUGAUUCACAUUCCUACUCUGAAACUUUGUUGCUUAUUAUUGUGUAUAGAAUAAGAGUUUUUGUUGUUGUUUUUAAUUGGCCUUCACGAGGCAAUUUGGGAGGGUUCUUAGGAGACCUGGGCAAAGACAGGUUCAACUGAGUAGGACUAAGCAAAUUGCUUAGGAUUGGUUUUUGAGUUUCUUAAUAAACAUUUUUCAAAUCAAAUUGUGUGUUUCUUUUUACAUCCCAGCUUUGAGAAUUAAAGGGGGAUCACUCACCCAUUUUGAAUUUAUCUUGGUGUAGGGUGUGAGGUGUUGAUCUAUUCCUAGUCUCUCCCACACUGUCUUCCAAUUAACUGCCUAGAUUUGUACAAAAGGAACAUAGGUGUCCCAGAUUGCCUUCAGACUAUUAGAAGCAAUCCUCAUUUCUCACUUUUAAAUAUUUUUUUUUGAGUCCAGAAGCCUCUCUUAAGCUUCCCUUUACUUAGGUUGAAACAUAUUGCCCUUUGUAACAGACUAAAAGUAGCGAUUUAUUUAGUUUCUGAAGUGUUACUUCUGAGUUGGCACUCUCUAGGCCUGGAGGAGCUGUGAAGGGCGUUGACUGAAGCAGUUUCCUGUGUCACGAAGGAGGACUAAGCUCAGUGGAUGGGAGAGGCCAAAAUGGAGAGUUGGGGGAGGGGAAUAUUUGCAAGUCUAUUGAGAACUGAGUAAAAAGGCUAGUGAAGCCUAGGCUCUCCAACUUCCUGACAAAGCAACUCAGCCCCCAAAUUCUGCUUGGUAGAAUUUCUGCCUGCUUUUUACUUUCUUCUUGGAAUUUUCUGACUGAAAAGGCCAGCAAAAGCAGGAAGCAAAGUGGUCAUUAGGAGAACAAUGUUUAUAAGGGAGCUUUGCUUUCCCUCCCAACCUCCCCUCCCCCAAACAAGCAGAAAGCUCAGGGGAUCAGACUUUGCCAACAAUAAACUAAUCCCUCCCUGUUGGGGGGGGGGGGGAGUGAAGAAGGGAGGAGACUAGUUCCCUAGAGGGAAAGUAGACCCUGAGAUAAAAAAUAUCUUGGCUAUCCUUGUGAUUUGGCCCCAGACUGGCUAGAAUUUGGCUGGAUUGCUAAAGUUGCCUGGGGUGAGUGAGUCAUCUGCAGCUGUAAUGGAAGAGGAACCCUCUAAAACUCCCCUGAGAGGGAAUGAGACCCAAUCAGAAUUCUCUGAGACUGCAGAGAAGGGGGGGGGGGGGGCAUUCAGUUCUGUUCAGAUUUUCCAUAUUUCCUAGAGGUCCAGAUUCUCAAUGUACAGUUGCUUUUUUCCCCUCUACCCCUCUUCCCUUUCUCAACCAGUCCUGGUCUUCUCACCUUUCAUGAAGAAGAGCUUUUAAAAGCAAUAUUGUAUUUUUUCCAACACUUCCACUGAUGCUCAUUAAUAUUUCCAUUGAAACUAUCGCCAGGAAAUGCCUGUAAAGUGGCCAAUGUGAUCAUUACCCUACAGGAAACCAAUUUUCUUAAGGUAGAAGACCAAACUUUAAAUAUUUUGUAAGAUCACCUUAAUCUAGAAAUCAUUUUAAUGCUUCUCUUAAGGGCCCAUUAAGUUUUGGGGAUGUGGAAAUUGACCCAAAUCUCUCAUCUAGCUUUUGCCAUGGAGAUGUGGAAAGGGCAUUCCACUGGGUAUCUAAAGGCUGUCUCAUCAUACUGAAAAUCUCUACUUUUACUAUAUAUCAUUUUUCUCUAAGCUAAUAUUAGAAAAUAGCAUUCCAUUUUACUAUGUUAUGACUUACCUGUCAUUUCAACUUAAUAAGAAUUAGCCUCUAAAUUCACUCCAUUGUUGCAGCUUGGCCAAAUAGCAUCAUCAGAAAAGCUUGUUGAAGUUACAUUGCUUUGAGAAGCUGUAUGGCAUGUCACUUGCCUUCAAGAAAACUUGGAUUCAAGGUCAGCUAACAUUGGAUGACUGUAAAUUAGUUACUUAAUUUUUAAGCAUGCCAGCAACUCUCCAAGACUAAAACUGUUAACUGAUUAUGAAUCAUUUAUAGGAAUUUCUACACUGAUGAAAUCACAAGUCUCUACCUAAAGAAAAGUAUUUCUGAAAUCAUUGUUUGGAUUUUUUUCCUCAAAAGUUGAGGGACCCGGAGAUUUUUGUUUUCAGCUGAACUUUCAACCUUUCUAGCCUCUAGCACAGCUAAUGUGCUGAAGUCACAUUAGCUGUGUCAUGGAAGAUUUAUAUGAAAAUGAAAGAAUUGCACAUAGCUACGCUUAUGGAUGAAGUAUCCACAUUGAUGGAAAAUGUGGUAUCACAAUAUCAGCCUGUGGUGUUUUUGUUUUUUAGAGAAUUCAUUAGGGGGAGUUAGAUGGAACUAAGUGCAUAAAAGCAACAUUAAACCUUUAGAGAGAGAACAAAUCCCUGAGUUUAUGAUUCAUUCCCUGAUUCCUCAGGUCCUGGGGACAUGGGAAGUCAAAGUAAUAAAAGUUAGCAUUUCUAUAUCACUUUCAGGUUUGCAAAGUAUGUUUCAUUUUAUUCUCUCAGUAGCUCUGGGAGAUAGAUGCUAUUAUGAAAUUGAGGCUAAGAAAUUAAAUUGACUCUUGGGGUCAUAUAGCUGUUGAGUGUCAGACAAAAUUUGAACAUAAUGCUUCCUGAGCAGUAAUACAGAGCAUUUCCAAGUUGAGCUAUGGAACUGGGACUUAUAUCACUUAAUUGGGUGGGGGUGGGGUACAGGAGGACCACUUAACAUGAGGAAAUCUAGGAGAAAGAUCCAUUUUCUAUUUACUGUGUUUGACCAUUAAAACUUGGAGCAGAAUUCAGCUUAAAAAGGUCAAACCCAUUGGUUUCAGGAGAGGUAUCAUGAGCUACCCUUUGAAUAAAAGAAUAAGAAAAUAGGAAUAAACAGAUGCCUGGUGAUUUUUAAAACUUUGAUUCCAGGGGCAGCUGGGUGGCUCAGUGGAUUGAGAGUCAGGCCCAGAGAUGGGAGGCCCUAGGUUCAAAUCUGGCCUCAGACACUUCCCAGCUGUGUGACCCCCAUUGCCUAGCCCUUACCACUCUUCUGCCUUGGAGCCAAUACACAGUAUUGACUCCAAGACGGAAGGUAAGGGUUUAAAAAAAACUUUGAUUCCACAAAAAUCAUUGGGAAUAUAGAUGCUAUUGGACAUUAAAAACGUCAACACUGGGUACUAGAAGACUUGUUUUGAUACCAGUACAGUUUUAAAGUAUCUAGUAUACAAUGAAUAACAGUGUUUUCAGUGAAAACCUGGCAUUUAGUGCCCUCUAGUGUAGCAAUUUUAAGUGACAUCCACCUCUAUAAUAGAGAAUAGUUGGGAUGUUAGUUGAAGGACAAAAUGUCUUAGUCUUAUGAUAUAUUUGAAGAUACUCUUUCUCUGCACCUGAGUUUUUUGUUUUGUGUAAAUAUAGUAAGCAUUCAUAUUCCCCAAAAGUCAAAUGCCUUUGAUGGAACAAGUUUUGUAUUUCUCAAAACUGACUGUUUCUAACUUGAGGAUCAAAAAUAUAAUUUACCUAAAGUAUUUUGCAAACCCUAAGAAGAAAUCUAUAACUAGAAGGUGAUGAUAAAUGAAUACCCAAUUCUAUACACAUAUAACAUUUUUACACACAUACAGAUAAUGCUAGGGUUUGGGAACCAUUAUAGAUUUUAGUUUUAUAAAAUGCUUACCUCAAAAUCAUUUUCUGAAGUAAGUGUAAAUAUCUCCAUUUUAAAUAUGAGAACACAAAGCAUUUGCUAUCUUUUAAAUACUUGAAAAAUUAGAGAACGUUAAAUAUAACGUUAGAAAAAUUUGAGGCAAUAAGAUGACCCUGAUCUUUAGAGAUCACCCUGCCCAAUCUAGUCAUUUCUGCAGUUGAAAAGUCCCCUUUAUCUUCCUAAGGGUCAGGAAUACUGGUAUACAGUAGCAAUUAAAGGCAUUUUAAGACUACUAUGACGAGGAUAGCUGACCCUACCAUUUUAUACCAAAUUAACAAAAUAAUGCUGGGCCUUUGAUGGAAUGAGCAAGCAAUUUUAUUGCUUAGGCAUUCCUUUUUUUUUUAAACAAAGUCCUUUAUUUACUAGUUGCAUUAGCCAUGGUAGGCUAUUAAAGAAGGUAAAAAAUACUUCCCAGAUCUUUAUAUCCCUCACAGUACCCUUGUAUUACUGGUUAUUUGGUGUUGAGUUACUAUUUGCUCUUAUGAUUUCAACACUGCCAUAUAUGGCCAUGUGACCACAGAAGGGAACUUAAAAAAUCAACCUAGUAAAUGUGUUAUAUGUUUCUGAAGAAUGAUUCAGUUAGGCCUGAAUUAUAAAGAAUUGCUAGGAUAUGUGUUUUUAUUCGUGUGAUAGCUGGAUCAUCAUUCUAUCUUUCUUUAUAUGGAUGGUAGACUGCUGGAUUUGGAUUACUAAAAAUAAUUCCCUCAAAGACUUAUUCAAAUCGACACUGCACAUUUCCAUUGACUGGCAUCAAUUACUACAUUUUAUAUAUAAUUAUAACAUCAAAUAAUACAAAUUCAAAUACACAUGACCAUUUUAGGAGAUUCAUUAUAUUAAUCUGGGCUGGGCUAUUUAAUAUUCCCUUUCUCCUUUUUACUCUCAGUCAGUAAUCUUUACCUCCCAGGAGGUAGUAGAAAAAAACAAUUACUCUGAAAACAGAGGACUUAGGUUCAAAUUCUGUUUCUGGUAUUUACUACCUGUGUGACUGAUCAAUUCACAUCACUUCUUCCAGGUUUCAAUUUCUAGAUAUAAAAAAGGAGUUCAACUAGAUGGCCUCCCUGGUCUCUCAGUUUUGUGAUUAAGACCUCUGGAUGACUCCCAAAUCUGUAUAUCCAGCCCUUGUCCCCUGGCUUCCAUUUUGUAUCAUCAGCUACCCACUAAGUGAGUGUCUCAUUGGCACCUUAAAAUCAACUAUUCCAAAACAUUUCAUUGUCUUUCUCUGACCUCCUCAAAACAUGGGCUAUUACAAAAGCCCCCUAAUUGCUCUCCAUUCUCCACAGUUAUAAAAUUGAUUUUCUUGGAAAAAAAAAACAACCAACCAAAUCUGAUGUCACUUUUCUAUUCAGGAAGCCUCAGUAGUUCUUAUUGCUUCUGGGAUAAAAUGCAAAUUCUUCUAUUUGGCAUUUAAAACCAUAUACAAUCUUGCUCCCACUUAACUUCCCCAAGAUUUUUACUCUUGCACAUUUGACAUCCCAGCAAAACUGAUCUGUUGGCUGUGUCCUAUACCUAACAUUCCCUCUUCUCACCUUUGCACAAGCCAUUUGUUCUGACUGGAAUACUAUACCUCUUAAUCAUCUUGUAGAAUUCCUAACUAAUUUUAAGACAGGUUAGGUGCCCCUUGCUACAUAAACUAUGCCUCUCCUUAUCUCCCUAGUUGCUAGUGUCCUCCCUAUUCUCACUAGAAAUUACUCCGUAUAUGUUUUUUAUUUAUUUUCUGUGUAUAUAGAUCCACAUCUCCGGCAAUAGAAUUCAAGUUCAUUGAAGGCAGAGUAUUGUUGACAACCCUAAUGCAAGGAAUAGUGGAUUGGAUUAUUUCAGAUUUCACAAUCAAAAAAUGAAAUACCUUUUAGAUACUAAAUUUAGUUCUGGUCAUUUAUCACAUUUCAUCGCAAAUUACAAAAAUAGUACUUGACAUGUAGGCGUUUAAUAAAAAAUUUGUUGAAAUUAGUAAACAGAUACCAAAGCCCAGCCAAAGAUGCCUCUUACUCCUCAUCAGCAUCUCUAAAACUAGGCUAGUGAAAUGCAAGCUCCAGCAAGUCCUGCCAAACAGGCUUUGAGUACCAGCUCAGUGAUUGUCACCCCAGGAUUUAUUUAACUAUAUUUGGAAAGGUUAGUACUAAAAUAAUGAGCACAGUGUGAGGUUUCAGAUCACCACAAUUCACAAAACCAUCCAAUUUUGUUCAACAAACAUUUUAACAUCUACUUUAGACAGGCAAAGGUUGUGAUUUAUCAUUAGAGGAUAGGCCUAUCAAGACAAAGACAAUAAGUGAUAAAAAUGAAAAUUUUUCAAUGACUGCAGUUGAAUCAUAGUGAUCAUAAACUGUAAGGUUGACGAGUCCCAGGACCACUUACUAUCCUAUACAUUUUCAAUGCUGCCUAUUAUCAAAUGUGCAUUAAGCAAAAACAUCAGCUUGACCCCAUCCAAAUGUUAGAUUUCUUUCCAAAUGAUGCACUAACAGUAAAAAUAACACUCUUUGACAUAGCUAUGCCUUUCUCACCCCACCUGCCAACACCCCUACCCCUAAUACCCCAUAUUCAAUGUUCAACCCCAGGAAGAAGAGGGAAUCAGUCUUCACAAUAAUACUGGUCUUGACUCUCAUUGGAUUCAGUUCAGUAUUGUUUCUUUUUUUGCCCUCUGUUAAACCUCUUGCAAAAUUGCUUUGCAUAGAUGGGCAAGGGGGCAAUGAAGGUAGUUGCCAGCUAAAGGAGCAAUCUAAAACUAUACAGCUACUGACAAUUUGCUUUCAGUGGCUUUGCCUCCAUUAAGAUUUCCUGGGCCAGUCUCAUUUGUCUAAUAAAUGGAUGAGAAUAGAUGACCUCUGGGUCCAAAUGUCCAGCCACGUCACCAACUGGUGAAAACCAAGCUGUUUUCUAAUAGAAGACUUCAGCGUCUCUUAUUUAUUCUGGAAUUGGAGAUCUGGCUGUAUGUGCAAGUAUAUAAAAAGUGAUAGUCACAAAGGAGAAUUCAUGUAGCAUGACCAUUCCCAUGCUCUCACAAGCCAACAAAUUCACUCUGCUAGUAAAGAAAUAAAACCAAAGCCACUACCCAUCUUGGCAUACAAGCUCACUCAACCUUUCCAAUAACCCCUUCUUUUCUAACACAUGUGGCCAUUUAUGCCAAGUAUGUGGUCUCUUAUGAAUUGUUUUUCUCUUUGAAUUGUACUUUCUUCCUUCUCUCCCCUUCCCCCCAAGUGAGUUUUGUACUCUAGCUCCCUUCUGCUUUACACCUUAACUUCAUUACAGGAGCCUGUUCAAUUCCUGGUCCUAUGUGAAUAGAAGAUAAGGGCAUCAUUUAUCAAUCUGGCUCUAAAUUAUACAAUAAAAGCAAAAGAAAUUAGAGGGGUGGGUGGAAAAGGCAGAAGCUUUAAAACAAAUCACUUUCUUUAGGUUUCCCAUGCAUUAAUUUCUCUAGUAUUGCUGUUUAGAAAGGACAAGGGACCAGAAGCAUAGCAGCUUUUCUGUAAUAUUCUGAGAAAACAUGUCUAAACCAGCAUUUAUAAUAUGUUAGUGUAUGCUCCCUGAACAAACAUUUCUUUCAUUUAAAGACACUAGUUAGUAUCUGGGUGUCUUUGUUCAUUGGUAAAACAGGCUUAGUAGAAAGAAAAAAAAUUAUUCUCAUUCUUAUACAGUUAAGAAAGAUUACAGAGUAUGUUUGGGUAUAUAAGCUUUAAGAAGUUAGGCAUAUGGGGGCAGCUGGGGUAGCUCAGUGGAUUGAGAGCCAGGCCUAGAGACUGGAGGUCCUAGGUUCAAAUGUGACCUCAGACACUUCCCAGCUGUGUGACCCUGGGCAAGUCACUUGACCACCAUUGCCUACCUCUUACCACUCUUCUGCCUUGGACCCAAUACACAGUAUUGAUUCCAAGAUGGAAGGUCAGGGUUUAAAAAAAAAAAAGUUAGGCAUAUGAUAGCAAAACCUAGAAACCAGGGGAUUAGGUAACUCAAAGAAAUGGUGGUGAUUUAAUAUGAUGGAAUAUUAUAGUAUUGUAAGCAUCAAAAGGUAUGAGGGAUUCAAAUAAAUGGAAGAUUUGGAUGAACUUUUAGAGUGUGAAAGAAACAGAACCAGGAAAAUCACAUACCCAAUAACUACUGUAAUGUAAAUAAAAACAAAAAGAAGCAACUGAAUUUAGGAAUAAACAUAACAAAUGUCUACAUGUGUUAAAUGGAGCAGCUACUGGUUGAUUUUCCUUGACUUUUUCCUUGAUGAGCCUGUGUGAGAAAAAUUAAUUAGGAAGCAGGGAAUUGUGGUUUGAGUUGGACUCCAAGGAGACCUGGAUUCAGGUGUUACCUGUGGUUAUGUGCCCUUGAGCAUAUCAUUUAAUCUAUCAAUGCCCCUUAGGAAAUCCUGUAAAACAACAAAUUGCAAUUGGGGUGCAGAUCUGUAUGAUAAGAUGUCUUCCUUGGGAAGUACUAUAUCAAGGAAAUCUGGUCCUGUGCAGGGAACAAUGGAAUGGAUGGAUCGCAACUUUGUAUGGGACUUUUAGGAAAAGAAAACAUGCAAAAGAGUGGGAUGAUUUCAGGAAAAGCUGGAAAGACAUAAAUUGAUGCAGAGCAAAAUAAGCAGAACCAGAACAACCUACAGAAUAAAAACAAUAUCGUUGGGUGAUCAACUAUGAAAGACUUAGAUUUCAGCAAUAUGAUGAUGGAGAACAGUUCUGAAGGACUUAUGACAAAGAAUACUAAUUAUUGCCAGAGAAAGAACUUGAGUUAGCUACAUAUCAAAGCAUACUAUUUUUCACAUUAGUUUAUGUUUUUAUUUAAGGGUUUUAGUGUUUUGAGUAUUCUCUUACAAUAGUGACCAAUAUGAAAGUAUGUAUUGUGUGGUAAUACAUGUAUAACCCAGAAAAAAUUGCUUACUGUCUCUGGGGGGAGGGAGGGAGACAAUUUGGAUCUUAUAAUUUUGGGAAACCCAUGUUGUUAUUACAUUAAUUGAGAAAAUAAAAUAUCUUUGAAUAAAGAAAUUAUUUUUUUAAACCAAUGCUAUAUAAAGCUAGUUCUAGUGGUUUCUAACAAACAUUCCAGCCAAAUAACAAAGCUGCCUCUCAGUCCUCCUUGAUGGGCAUGUAUAGCAUCAGUUUAAGUUUUUUGUUUUUUUUCCCCCUGGCUCUUAACUCCUCAGUGUUCUUUAUUCAUGUUUUCCUUGGGGCUAGUGGAAAGCAUGUGAAUGUUUUGAUUUAAAACGUUGAGAGUGCCAUUUCCAACUACUUUGCAAGUGGAAAGUAAGACUAAGCAGAGCUAAUGAUAUUACAGCUAUGUACAGAUCAUCUACAGUAUCAACAAGAAAUUGAAAAACUUGUUUCCUAUGAGUCAUGUGGUGAAUGGGUUUUAAAUUGAUAAUCUUGUACUAAUUCUUCCCCAAAAAGAAAUUUUUGUCAAGAUAUAACCUAUGUUUUUUUCAUAAUCACAAUGAAUAUUCAUAGAAAACAUUUAAAUUACCAGUCUAGUCUAGAAAGAUUCUAGUCGAAAUAAUUUGGCACAAUAAAACACUUUUUUUCAUAGAAAUUGAAAUAAUGUUUUAGAUAAGCCUUUGUGCAUUUCUUAAAGGAAAUUUUUUUGUUAUUUUCUCAUUCGAGGUAUUGGGAGGAAAGUCCACAUUUAAUUAAAGAUUUUAUAUAUAUAUUCCCCACACACACACAAAGGGAAAGAAGUAGGAGAGAAAAAAAAUUGAAAUUUAAACUAAACUAGAAAAGGUACCAAGUGAAUUUGAGGAAAUAUUUUGAGGCAACCUGGACAAAUAAAACUGACCGAAGGGCUUUUAUGGUAUUCCAGAGGGGUUUUGAUUUUAACAAAUUAUUCUUUUACAAAGAUGAAUAAUAUAAAAAUGAGUUUGAGUGAUUAUGUAUAACCCACUGGAAUUGCUGUCAACUCUGGGAGGGGUGUUAGGAUUAGGGGAGAGUGAAAACAUGAAUCAUAUAACCAUGGGGAAAAAUUUUAAAUUUAAUUUUAAAAAUUUAGAAAUAAAUAAAAAAUUAAAAGGGCAUUCCAGAGGGAAGAGAAACGUAUUACAAUUCCAGUGUUGAAUGCCAUAGAAUAACCUCACUUUAUCAAAGUUUUCUGUCAUAGAAAGAACUGUUUUCCCAAGUACACAAUUUAUAAGUUGAUCCCCAAUAAAAUUAAAUCCAUGACAUUGUAGUAAUGCGUUUUAUAAUAUCCUGAUAGAAAUAAAUAAAUGAAAAUUCAUUCAAAGGCAAUGUUUGUGCCUUGUAGUCAUUUCAAGUAUCUAUACCUUCUUGGAAAAGAUAAAAGCUUUCUCUUUCUAGGCAGUUUCUCCACUCCCUUCUAUCUGACAACCUGAAUUAGUUAACUGAAUGGUGACCAGAUUUUGAUUGCUAGGAAGAUACAGCAAACUCUAAAAUUCUGGACAGUUCUAGUAUUGAACAAGUGGCAUCUGCAAUAAGAAACAGAUUUUUGGCAGAUCAAAAUAACUGUCUUCUCUGGUUUAAUGAAACAACUUUUCUUUCACCCUGGUCCUGCUAUCUCACUCCAACCCCUGCUUGUACCACCUUGUUCUUGAUGCUUUGGGACAAAGAAAACUGCGGUUUCCUGAUGCCAAUCAGUAAGUAUUAAGCACCUAUUAUCCAAGCAUUGUGCUUGAUGCACAAGGAAUAAAAGCAUUCCCAUCUCACAUUGAACAUGCUUUCUAAUGGGAGAUACAAGUAUAAAUGAACAUCAACACACACACAGAAUUACUAGAGGUGAUUUGAGAAGAGAAAGGAUGCUAGAAGUUGGAGGAAUCAGGAAAGGCUUCAUGCAGAAGAUGGAACCUGAGCUGCAUCUUAGAAGAAGAGAGGGACUGAGGUGGAAGUAAGGGAUGCAUUCUAGGCAUGGGGGACCAGGAGCGAGACUACCACUACCAUGCUAUGGAGAAGUGAGUCUUGAGAACAGAGAAAGCAGAUUUGACUGGUUUUCAAAGAGGUCAUAAUAAUAAUAUUAUUAUAUAAUAUAAUAUAUAAUAUUAUAUAUAUAAUAAUAAUAAUAAUAAUAUAAAUUGGGUGACUUGAGAGAAGAGGUUGGAUGCCAAAGAUAUUGUGAAGAAUUGAAUAUGUGGUGAUGAGGAGUGAAGAGACCAAGAUAAUGCCAAAAUUGUGAAGGAUGGUGGUGACUGGCAAAAAUAGGGAAGUUUAAGAUUAUAAUUUAGGACAAAAAUUGAGUUCAGUUUUAGACAAAGUAGUAAGAUGUCUCUCUACUCAUUCAGUUUGAAAUGUCUGAGACAGACAAUUAGUGAUAUAGGACUGGAACCCAAGGGACAAAUGGGCUGGAUAUAUAAGUCUUGAAGUUAACUUGAAGUUAACUAAGUCAAUUCAACCAAUAUUUAUUAAGUAAAAGAGUGGGUACUACACUAAACAGUAGGAAUAUUGAAGAAAUCCUCUUCCACCUUGCCCUCCACACCCUCAGCAACAAAAACAACAGCGAUGACAAAAACCCAACCAUACAGAGCUGAUGAGAUUACCAAAGGGAAUUUAGAGGAGAAGGAAAGAGUCCCAGGAUAGGAUGUGGAGAGCACCCAAAGUUGGGGGAUAUGAUGUGGUUGAUAAACCAUCAAAUAAAGCUAAGGAAUAUAGGAGAGAAUCUCCACACAUAUACACACUGGGGGAGAGGGUGGUCACAAGCUCCCACCUAUAUAGUUAUCCCGUCUAAUAGUCAUCCAGAGGACCUAACUUCAAUGCAAAGGCAUUUAUUUGUUGAAAUACAAUAUUUUUAGAGAAUAGCAAUACAAAUUUUCCACUUAUAAAACUGGGGCAUACUCAUUAAUAUAUACUCCACCUUUGGGAAGAGUGAAUAUACCUUAGGAUCAUGUGUGCCAGGAUGUUCACAUGGAGGGGCAACAUGCCUCUGAUGCUGUGUAGAAUUACUGAUGUUUUCUGGUAUUUCACUGCUGCCCCUCAUAAUUUUCCUUUGGGUGCAUAGUCCCUGCAUGAUGCUUUAGGCACAGCACCCCCCAGACAUGUAACUGAGGAGCUUGUAUGCAUCAAAUCUGGCUUCACCUGAAUUCCUUGAGCUUCCCAAGUUGUUUUUCAGUGCCCUUUGGUAAAAUAUCUCCUAACUUUGGGUGCUUCCCACAUUCUACUUUGGGACUCUUCUCUUAAUUCUCUCUUUUGGUAUCUCAUCAGCUUUCUAUGGUUUGAUUUUUUUUUUUGACAACGUUGUUUCGGGCAGGGGGAGCCUGUGGAAGGGGAUUCCUUUGUAUCUCUAGUGUCUAGUGUAGCCUAGUCUAUUAAAUAAGCCACAAUGCCAGCAAAAAUCUUUCUGGGAUGGGGAGUAGGAACAAAAAAAAAAACCUUUACCUGGUUUUUCCACUUUAAGGUGUAGCCAAUCUUAAUGAGAUUUGUUUGUUUGUUUUUUGUUGGGGGGGGUAUUGGCCACAGUCUCCACAUUCCUUUAGGACUCAAAGCAGAGUCCUCCAAGGAAGUACAUUCAGAUAUAAUCUUUUCUUUGAGCUAAAUUUCCUGGAUUCCAGGUCCUUGUCUCUAAUCAUCCCAGUUUUAAUAAGCAUUCCCAAUGCCUCCCUAUUUUAAUCCAUAUAUCCAUUUCUCACCUGUGUAGGGUAACAAAAGCUCUGACUUGGAAAUUUGAAUAUUUUUUAAAUGAUUCAGUAUCCUUGAAUUUCCCAAUUUACAAUUACUCUCCCAUCCAUUUUCCUGCCUGAAUGAGUUGAGGGGAAGAAUCAAAGCCAAAUUCAGGGGGCAAAGUUAUUAUCUUUUUCUCUACUCUAAUGAUACUUUGACUUUCAUAUGAUAUGCAUACUGAAAAGCAUUUUCAAAAAAAGGGUUUGUACUCUUUCCUGUUAUUCCUUUGUGUAAAUCCAGAUAUUCACUGAAUAGAUUUAACUCAAAGUGAGCACACACACGUAUGUUUCAUAUAUAAAAAUACUGUAAAUCUCAGUGGAUUGAGAGCCAAGUCUAGAGACAGGCGUCCUGAGUUCAAAUGUGGCCUCAGAUACUUCCUAGCUGUGGCACCCUGGACAAGUUACUUAACCCCUUUUGUCUAGACUUUACCACUUUUCUACCGUGUAACCAAUACACAGUAUUGAUUCUAAAAUGGAAGGUAAGGUUUGUUUGUUUUUAAUCACUUCUAAAAAUUGUCAACAAUACAUCAACAGUAAAAAAUAUCCUAAGUUGCGAAAUGUUUCCCUUAUGCCUAAAGUGGGCAUAUUUCAGACUCAAAAUCCAUAGCAACAAGUGAUUCUUACCACAACUAAAAGAGGAGAGGAUGAGGACAAGAGUGUCAAAAGAACUGGGAUGUCUCCCUCUGGUAACAGAUGCAAGGCUAAAUACUUUGAACCAACAAAGCCUGCUUUGGAGGGUUUCAGAUAUGCUGUUGGUGGCAGUGAGAAUUAUUUUUUUGCCCAGAAAAGAGAGAAGUGGAGAGCAGGUGAAAUGGAGAACAGGUGAAAUCCUGAAUUGAAAUGGGUAAAUCUAGCAAAGGAAAAAUAAAUGCCUUUGUUUUGAGAAGGAAAUUAAAUUGGAAACAGGAAAACUACAUUUAAAAGGUAUAUGCCCCACCCUCAAAUGGAGACAAGGAAAUAGGAAAGUAGUGAUUUGUGGAAGUUAGCAAAAAUUGAUGUCAAAAGGCUGUGUUUCUGAUUCCAAGAACAACUUCCUGUCUUAUAAGAAUUCCUUCUUAGGCAUGGAAAGUACUGCGAAUAAUUUUGCUGAUUUGUACCUUAUGUUUAGGAAGUAUAAAAUUCAAGAGAAGGGUGACAUGUAAGAAUGAAAAAAUUCAGAAGAGAACUUGUCAGAUAACUUCUUAAAAGCUGGUCCCUUUUUUCAUUCCCUUCUCACCCUGCAAUAAAGAAAAGAGUAGCAACAGGUAAGUAGAUUAACAUCCAGGAUCAGGUUAUCUUAGAGGAACCUGGCAGAAAGAUAAGUUUCUUGAGAUGUCCACCUUUGAUUCCUCACCCUUUUCUUGUCAUAGUUUUCUUUAAUUAAAAAAAAUUAUAGAAGGUAGUAUUCGAGUGUUGAAGACGAAUGGGUCAGAAUCCCAGGUGACCCCUUUUGAAGGGAUGAAUCAAACUUCCUGUGAUUGAUUCAGUUUGGUGUGUGUUUAUUAAGUGCUUAUUAAAUGCCAGGCACUUUUCUAGGUGCUAUGAAUACCAAAACAAAAAUGAAGCUAUGCCUCUAGAAGCUGGCAUUCUAUUGGGAAAAGAAGCUUCACAGCUGAGUUUUGAUGAUCUGUCAUGGGUUCAGACCAUUUGGAACACAGAUGUGAAAAAUAUAUUAGAAGUCAUCUAGCCCAGUCUCUUCAUUUUACAGAUAAAGAAACUAAGCCCUGGUGAGUAUAAGUGAAUGGCCCAGUGUCACAUAGCUAUUAAAUGGCAAAGUGAGCUUUUAUUUACAGGUCUCCAACUCUAGGGCAAUCCUGUGCCUUAGAUGGUAUGGCCUUUCCCCCAGGCACUAAAAUUGGAAAGGAUGGAUAUGUUUCUGUUCUAGGAGAGUGGUCACCCCCCUCCCAAUGAAUAUGACUUAGAUUUGGGGAUCCCUAAUUAGAAGUCUAUUUAGAACCUUAUAUUUCCUAUUUUUUCCUUCUUGCUCCUUGCUUUGUAGAUAUUUCACUAUUAGACCUUCUAUUAGAAGGAAAAGGGAGAGGAGGUAGAUAUUCAGAAGGGCUGUUUCUUUCCCAGCAUGCCUCACACAUGCCAGUUUCCUUCCUACUAUAUCACAGCUAUUUUGUGAUUCAAGAAGUUAUCCAACUAGAACUUCUUUCUCCAAACCUGAUUUCUUCUUGGAAUGAUGAAUUAGCCAUGCUUUUUAGUUAGGCCCUUUUAAGAUGCUAAGGAACAGCUGUUGCUUUGAAUCACACAUUAUUGAAUAAACCUGUAUUAGAUUAACAAGAGCUUAUAGUACUGCAGUCCUUUACUAAAACUGGCUAGAGUCAACUCCCAAAAGACAUCUUGUUCUCCAGCUACUUAGAUUUCCUAGACAGAGGAGCAAGAUCUUCCCCCCUUUUAAUACCACACUUGAAUUGUUGUACUUUCACAUAAUAAACAUUUCAUCUCCCAAAUUACCAGUGAUAAGCAGGAUGUGUAGGACUUAAUUAUCUCUCAACAUAUAUAUAUAUAUAUAUAUAUAUAAUAUUUUUUUAAAAAAUUGGCCUUCUCCCUCAGAACAGUUAAACAAGACUAAGUAAGAGUGAGGUUACAUCACUGGCACUUUCCUGGGGGGUGGGGCUGGAAUUGAAAUGAGAAGACCUGAGUUCAAAUAUUAGCUCUGGUACUUGCCUCCUUUAUGACUUUGACAAGCUUAAAUUUUCUCAUCUGUAAAAUAAGGAUUGGAUUAAGUGGCCUUUGAAGUCUUCCAUCAUCAGAUCUAUGACUCAACUUCUUCCCCAACACAGCCCAGAGACCUACAUCCAGUACCUUAAGAAAACUGCUCAUCUUCUUUUCAUUUCCUUUUCUUUUCCAACCCUCCCUUCCCCCCCACCCCCCCACCCCCGUUUGGAAUAUACUAUUGCAAGCAGGCAUAUAUGACAACAGUAAACCUUUUCCAUUCAAUUAAAAUGUUAAAUUGCUUGGAUUUCUUAAGUGUAGCAUACCAGGUAUAUUAGCAUUUUGGAAGUAUUACUGAUGCAUUAAUAUUGUAUCUUAUGUGUUCACAUGCCAGACUCAUGGUCAUGUUACUUAUUGAUUAUUGCAUUUCUACAUCUUCAGUGCAAGGGACAAAAGAAUUCCUGAGCAGGACAUUAUUUGCCACAGGAUCCUAGCUCACACCUUGUUAGACCACAUUCCUUUCCAAGCAUGUUUGACUAACCUCCUCCUCUUUGAUUACGUGAUUGUCAAUUUAAUCAAUGUUAAAACCUAUGCCAUGUCACAUAUUCAUUAGUUACCUCCUAUGCCACCUUCCUAAACUUUCCAAUAAAAGUUCGGGGACAUGUGCAAGCUACUCUCUUUCUCUUCAGAAGCAUCACCGGAGCUUGCUACAACCCUCAUGUUUUAACUUUUUGUCUCUGAGUCUUUAUUCCUUUGUGUGUGUGUGUGUGUGUGUGUGUGUGUGUGUGUGUGUGUGUGUGUGUGUGUCUCUCUCUCUCUCUCUCUCUCUCUCUCUCUCUCUCUCUCUCAUCUCUCCAUCCAUUUUCCUUCAGUCUCCAUUCUCCUUCUCAGGUAACCACCCACAAGGAAAUUAAAUAGGAACUGAAGUUCCUAUAGUAAGAUAAAGCAUUAUAUACAUAUAUGUGUACGUAUGCAAGUGUGUGUGUGUGUAAACAUUUGUCUUCCAUCUUAGAAUCAAUCCUGCAUAUUGGUUCCAAGGCAUAAGAAUGGCAGGGACUAGGCAGUGGGGGUUCAGUGACUUGCCCAGGAUCACACAGCUAGGAAGAUUCAGAAGCCAGCAUUGAACUCAGGCUAUCUGUUAUGAAUGUUUCUGUAGCUUGAUUGAUUUGGGCUCUCUUUCCAUGUAUGUAGAGGUUGGAAACAUUUGAAGACUUCUUUUUCAUCAAGGAAAAUCCAUGAACUGACAAUCUAUGAUUAUUUCUCAAAUUAAAAAAAAUCCCUUCAUUAGGUUACUUUCUGGAAGCAUACUGCAAAUUUUUGCACUUAACUAUGUCAUAACAGGCUUUCAUGGAUGGUAUAACAUGCAAUAACAUGAGACUGACAGCCCAUCUGAAUUCAUGUAAUGCUGACAUAGAUUAAAAACACACUUUGAGAUUUUUGAAUCAUUAGCAACAACCAUAAAAGGAACCACAACUUAGUCUUUACCAUUUUAGCUUAUUUGGGGCCAUCCUAAUGAAAUAGCAGUAGUCAACAGAGGAAAAGAUGUUACUGAAGCCAAAGCAGCUACAAAGAAUGCCCUGUACUUCGUUAGUAUGUAAUAAGAUAUAAAUCUGCAUGUUGUUAGACAGAAAUUUACAUUCCAUUUCCCUAUUUAUACAAACUUGGACUUGCUCAAGUCUUUCUUCUCCAAAAAUAACAAGUCAAAUAACAUAAUAUUUGUAAAUUAGGCUUUCAAGGAACCUACCAAAAGCACUCUUUGCACAUGGCAUGAUCUCAUGCUUAAAUUGGAGCAUUUCUACUAGAAGGAGAAUGGGUGGAGAUAAGAGGACUUUUUACAAAUAGUCAAGGCACCAGUUUAAUCAUUAGAAAACUUUCAAUUAAGGAUGGACCUAGUGCAAAAGUCAAUUAUAAAAUUUUACAGAGAAAAUAUCUGAUUUUAAAAAAGGGUCUCUCCUUUUCUAACUUAGAGUUGCUUUCAAGAGCUCCCACUAGUUCCACUGAUUUGUUAAACCAUUUGGAACUAUUAUUUUCACAACUGGGACUGUCUUCCAAGGAGGUCUCCAAUGUUGAGAAAAAAGCACAUGAAAUGUUCAUAGCAUAAUUGUGAUGUAAAAAAAAAAAGCUGGAGAGGAAAUAUUUGUCUAACAUUUAGGAAAUGGCUAAACAGAUUGUAUAUAAAUAUAACAAAAUAUUUACUUGUCAUAAAAAAUGGAAAAUAUGAAGAAGUCUAAGAAACAUUAGCAAUAGAGACUGUGUGGUGCAAUGGAAAAGACUUUUCAUUUGAAGUCAGAGGUUCUUGGUUGAACUUCCAGCCUUAGUUUAAAACUCAGAUUUAUCAAACUAGCUACUUGUGUGACUUUGGGCAAGUCACUUAACUUUUAUAAAAUGAAGGUGUUGGACAAAAUGACCUUUAAAUCACAUCUAGAUCUAUGAUAUAGUAUCUAUAAAGUGGGGGGAGGGGAGACAGGGGCAGAAUAAUAGACAAUAGUUGAUAAAAAGUAAAAAAAAAUAAUUAUAGUAAUGUAAGAGUUAAAGGAUAUAGUAAUCCUUUGUUAAUGAUCUAUGAAAAAAAUUUUGAGGAAUGUAUUUUGUAAGGGGUGUUUUAUGAAUAUUCACUAGGAAUAUUUUGUCCAAAUAAAAUUUGUCAAUUAAAAAAAACUCUGAAGAAAAUGAAAAAGAUAUUCUCAAUUAUUUCAUUAGAAUGCAGAGAGAUCUAUUUAGGGAGCAAAGUUGAGAAAUAAACAAGUCUCUUAAAAUAUAUAACUGAGUUCAAAAGGCCCUUUCAUAGAAGCUUGGCUUACAGGGGAACAUACACAAGAAACUUUGUUAAGUAAAAUUGGACAGAAGAGACCCAAAGCAUGGAAAGAUUUAUAGAGGCAGAAUAGAAAUAUCUAUUCUAUGAAAGAUAAUCUGAGAAUGAGGAAACUUAUAUAUGAAGUGGGGGGAUGGGAGGACAGAAGAGAGUACCUGAAAUGAAAACACUUUUAGUGAAGACUUGGAAGAGUUAGUUAUAUUUCUCACCAUGGUAAUGUUUGAUAAAUAAAUGAUAAGAGAAAAAUGACAGGAAACUUAAAAGAUAAACUAAUAGGCCACUUGCUUAUUAUUGUUUAUUGACCCAUGAAAUAAAGGUUGUUUUUAGAUUGUUUUUAAGCCUCCAUUUUAAGACAAAACAGUUUCACAUCUUGCAAGAGUUGGGUAGAUUCCACAAAGUCUGCAAGCCAAAUUUUUUGGACUUCAUUUUUUUUACCCUCUAACCUUUUACCUCAAUUUAACUUUGUGUUUUUCAAUUCAGCAAACAUUAAUUUAGUCCCUGCUGUGAAUAGAACAAAGUGUUGAUGUCUUAGGGAGAUAACAAGUUUAGAAAAAAGAGAAUACCUAUAACCAGGAGCUUACAGUUUAGCAAGAUGGGGUUAGGAAUUGUUUUAGCCAUCUUCUUAAUAAGGAGCUUGGGUAGAAUACUAAUAUAGGCGUGGAAGUGUAUUAUGUGUUUUGUUCAUAUAAGUUAUGUGUCCACAUGAGUCUGUUUAGAUAUGGCGUGCAGGAAGGAAAAAGAGUCUCUUUUCUCCACUAUCAUCCAAAGGAGAAUUUGAUUCUUGCCAGGAGGUGAAGCAAGAAGUUAAGUCUAGAAGUUGGCCACUUUCAGAGAAUGAGAGUAAUGGGCUGAUAGUAUAUCUAUCAGCUACCUUAAAUAUUCUUAGUCAUGGGGAAAUAUUUUUUUAGUUCAGAAGCUGUACUCCUGAUUGCUAUUCCCUAAUGGAGGAGUGCCCCCAAACUAUAUGUCCAAAGUUUGAUUUCCUUCUCACUGUUUGCCAGUUCCACAAUGAACAGACAUAGGCAAAUAGCAGAUAAGCCCAUUUAUCCACAUCAAUAGCAAAAGCAGGAAGCAGAAGAAGUAUAGAUAUGAGAGCAUAUACUGUAAAAUACAGUGUGAAUAAGUUCCCUCAUUGGGAGCAAGAAAACUCAGCUCUGCUAACAAAGACAGUCUCAGAUCUUGCCUAAGAUGCAAUUCCUUGAAGUCUAUAGUGCAGCAAGCUGGGAGAGAGCACAAUAGAGAAUUAUGACUCUUUUACAUAUUGGCCUUUUCCUAGAGAUCUUUUUUCUAGCUCCAGGGACCUGAAGAGUCUUGGAUUGAGCAGCUUCUCUUUCAAAAUUGGAAGCCGGAAGACAGGAUUUCAGUUUUUCCUCAAGUCCUCACCAAUUUCACUUUUCAUGCAAGUGCAGAGCAUUUAGUAUUCUCUACCAAUGAGGAGAAUCCUUUAUAAAUGGUCUUUGAGGUUCAUGUUACACCAGAAUAAUUUUUCAAAGACUUUCUUUCCCAAUUGAAAUUAUAUUGGUGGUAACUAGGACAAUAAAAUUGAAACUUGUAGGUUCUGGUAUUUUUGUCAUUGUUGAUCAGUUUUCACACCACAAUCGCCUCACUUUUUCAUGUUCAUACUCAUUCUUUUCACCUAUCUGUACCCUAGGGUAUCAUGUCUUUAUCUCAUUUUAGGAUGUGCUUUUUUGGCUAGUAUAGUUCCUCAUAAAAACUCAUACUGAGUUCACUCUAUGUUUAAUCCAUGUUCAAUAUAGCUAGGUUGGAUUGGUUCAAAGAUACAGGGCUUUUUUCCAUCAGUCACUCUCCAAGGGAUGCCCCAGAAUUUGGGACAUACUUAAUAUAUUAGAGGUCCUUCUUUAUCUUACAAAUGUUUUAUUUCCUCCCCUCCCCAGUUAGGAUCACCAUGGUUCCUAGUGUUUAGGGACAAUGGAUCAGUGUAUGUGUACUUAAAUUGAUUCUCCCCAGUAAAUAAUAUAACACUGGAUUCAUAGAUGACCAGAGCCACUAAGGGAAUGACAGGAGACAGCAUGUUCUAGACAAGUCAAACCAUUGCCACCAUCUGUUCCAUCAUCACCCCUCAGAUUCCCAUGGAAUUGACAUGGGACACUGAACCCUGAAGCCUUUGUAACAACAGUGCCCCCCCCCCCAGACCACUGACCCCUCUUCCAGGCUAAGCUUCAUUGUUGAAGAAAAUAAUGACUAGAGAAAAGGCUUCCUUUUCUUGCCACCACCAACAUCAACUGUUACCAUCAGUUAAGACAGAGCCCUAAGAGUGUCAACAUCCCUCCACCAUACCACCAGUCCUGUUUCCAAGCCUGUCACCUGCAAGUAUCAUUCAUCCCUAGAAGCAGCCCAUGAGAAUGCGACCUGCCUACUGCUUCUGUGGGGGCUGAAGCCCUUGCCUCCUCAACACCAACUGCUCCUGAAGAUCUAAAAAAUAAAA